rnacentral:rRNA from 1 species
AUGGCGACCACCGACGCCCGAGUCGCGCCCGUGGCCGACGAGCGGCCUCCGGCCGCUGAUGCGGACGAGGCUACGGUGGCGGAGGGGCCCAAGAGUGCCGGGGCGGCGGCGGCGGAGGUGGGUGGAAUAGGGGAGGGCGAGGAGGUGAGAUUUGAGGGGAAAGACCGGAGCUUUACUGGUUCGGAGGCCAACAACGGCGGGGUGGUGGAGGCGGAGGACGGCGGGGAGGUGGAAGCAGCGGUAGGAGAUGGGAAAGAUGCAAGUGAGGGGGCGGGAGAAGAGAAGGAGGAGGAGGAGGCGGCUGCGGCCAAGGAGGAGGAAGGUGACCGGGAAUUGUCGGUGGAAGAUGUGAAGGCUGCGUUGUUGGUGCAGGCGCUUGUUGCAGCGAAGUCUGAGUCCGACAAUGGUGAAUUGGGCGAGGGGGAUGCUUCCCUGCCACCCCCUGAUGCGCUGGUAGGUGAUAAGAAGCCUGAAUUGACAGACGAACCAGAGGAAAGUGCCACUUUGGCGGCCAAGGAAGUGGGCAACGUGGCACUCGACGCUGAAUUGUCCGAGGAGAAACCAGAGGGUGAGAAGCGUGCAGAGGUGGCCGCUGGAGGCGAAGAUGAUGGUGAGUUUGACAGCGAGAAGGCGGUUACGGUGCCCACCACGACCAUGGAGGCGGCGGAGCCGGAGGAUAAGGUGGCUCCUACAGCUGAAGCCAAUGGCAAUUUGGGCGGUGAGGCUGAAGCGCCUGCUGAGUUGGUGGCGGUGGGAGGUGAAGAAGCUCCAGAAGCAUCAUUGGAGAAUGAGGCUGAUGUGGAAGACAAGGCUGCAAAGCAGGAACCUGAAAGCGAUGCAAGUCCAGUGGUUACUGAUGACGGUAACCGUGCUGAUGUUGAAGAGGAGGCGGCAAAGCCCGAGGCGGAGAGCGAUGCAACUCCAGUGCAGGUUGUUGAUAACGGCACCGUGGAGAACCAUGCUAAUGUGGAAGACGAGGCUGCAAAGCUUGAUCUGGUGAAUGAUGCAAGCCCAGUGGAGAACCAUGCUAAUGUGGAAGACGAGGCUGCAAAGCCUGAUCAGGUGAAUGAUGCAAGCCCGGUGGUUAUUGACAAUGGUAGCUUGGAUUACCAGGCUAAUGAGAAAGAUGAGGAGGCAAUGCCUGAGCCAGAAAGCGACGCAAGUCCCGAGGUUAUCGAUGACAUUAGCUCGGAGAGUUUGGUGAAGCUUGCUCCUUCAAGCGUAGAUGUUCCGCUUACCGAAAGCAAUGAGAAGGCACAAAAUGCAGAGGACCAGGUGGUUGCUAGUGGAACUGUGGAAAAUGUUGGUGUUGAGAAGCCUACGGAGGUUGAGAGUGUUGUUGCUGGUGGUGAUGAUGUUAUCUUGUCUCGGGAGUUGGCUCCAGAACCAGUCAAGGAAAACAAUGAUGAUGUCGAUGAGAAUGAACCUGCUGCAGAGGUGGUUAGCCACAAAAAAGAGGCUGGUGAUGAUGAGAUAGUUGUGGCUGCAGCUGCUGAUGAUCAGAAAACUCUAGCUGCAGCUGCUAAUGAUCAGAAAACUCUAGCUGCAGCUGAUGACGAAGACACAGGUGGUGAGGAGAAUGAAGGUGCUCAAGAUGUUGCUGACCGUGAAGUAGAGGCUGUUGAUGAUGAGAUAGUUUUAGCUGCAGCUGAUGAGGAAGACGGGAGUGGUAAUGAGGGUGAUGAGGACGAUGAUGAGGUGAGCUUUGACAGGAGUCCUGCUCGAGUUGCGAUCAUAGAGAACUCUGAAGCUGCAAAGCAGAUAAUGAAGGAGCUUGGUGAAGGAUCCUCAAGUGGUAGUCCUGUGUCUGGCUUGAGCAGCUCAAGGGAGUACACUAAUAGCAUGGAUGGACAAAUUGUUCUUGAUGAUUCUGAGGACGAGGAUGAUGACGACGAUAAUGAGGAUGAUGAUGAGAAGGGGUUCGAUUCUGCUGCUUUGGCUGCCCUACUAAAAGCGGCUACCGGUGCAUCCCCUGAUGGGAACAUCACAGUUUCUUCGCAAGAUGGUUCCAGAAUCUUUUCCAUGGAUAGACCUGCUGGUCUGGGCUCGUCAGCCCCAUCUUUGCGGCCAACUGCCCCCCGCCAACCUGCCCGGUCAAACCUCUUCAGCCCCUCUGAGCUGGCAGUGACUGCUGAGCCUAAUGACGAGAUGACAGAGGAAGAGAAGAAAUUGCAUGACAAGGUUGAGUUGAUUCGUGUAAAGUUUCUGCGCCUUGUCUAUAAAUUGGGGGCGACCCCUGAAGAAACAGUAGCAGCACAAGUGCUGUACCGUCUGAGCCUUGCUGAGGGUAUCCGACAUGGAAGGCAGACAAACAGAGCUUUCAGCCUUGAGAACGCACGAAAGAAAGCCUUGCUGCUUGAAGCGGAGGGAAAAGAGGAUUUGAGCUUCUCCUGCAACAUACUCGUCUUGGGAAAGAUUGGAGUUGGCAAAAGUGCAACUAUAAAUUCUAUAUUUGGCGAAGUGAAGUCCAAAACUGAUGCUUUUGGUGCAGCCACCACCAGCGUGCGUGAAAUUGUUGGUAAUGUGGAUGGUGUGAAGAUACGGAUCAUUGAUACACCAGGCCUUCGGGCCAAUGUGAUGGACCAAGGAGCCAACAGGAAAAUUCUCGCAUCUGUCAAGAAAUAUACCAAGAGAUGUCCCCCAGAUAUCGUUCUAUAUGUGGACCGUCUCGAUAGUCUGAGCCGUGAUCUUAAUGACUUGCCUCUUCUAAAAACCAUUACUUCUGUUCUGGGUUCUUCCAUAUGGUUCAACGCCAUUGUUGCUCUCACCCAUGCUGCUUCUGCUCCUCCUGAAGGCCUCAACGGUGCCCCUAUGACAUACGAGGUAUUGAUGGCACAGCGAUCCCACAUUAUCCAGCAAUCCAUCAGGCAGGCUGCAGGGGAUAUGCGUCUGAUGAACCCAGUAGCCCUUGUUGAGAACCAUCCUUCUUGCCGGAAGAACCGUGAGGGUCAGAAAGUGCUUCCAAAUGGCCAAAGUUGGAGGCAUCAAAUGCUGCUCUUGUGCUACUCAUCGAAGAUAUUAUCAGAAGCCAACUCACUUUUGAAGCUUCAGGAUCCUUCUCCUGGGAAGCUUUUUGGGUUCCGUUUCCGCUCCCCGCCACUUCCUUUCCUGCUAUCCUCCCUGUUGCAGUCAAGAGCUCACCCGAAACUUUCACCUGAUCAGGGUGGUAAUGAAGGAGAUUCUGAUAUUGAUUUGGAUGAGUAUUCUGAUAUAGAACAAGAUGAAGAUGAAGAGGAAUAUGAUCAGCUUCCUCCCUUCAAGCCUUUGACCAAAGCGCAGCUUGCAAGGCUCACAAAAGAGCAGAAGAAUGCUUAUUUUGACGAGUAUGAUUACAGGGUCAAGCUUCUGCAGAAGAAACAGUGGAAGGAUGAGCUCCGCAGGUUAAAGGAGAUGAAGAAGAGAGGCAAGUCUGAUAUGGAUGCUUAUGGGUAUGCUAGUAUCGCAGGCGAAAACGAUCAGGAUCCUCCUCCAGAAAAUGUUUCAGUUCCCUUGCCUGACAUGGUGCUGCCUCCUUCAUUUGAUUGUGACAAUCCGACAUACCGUUACCGCUUUCUGGAACCAACCUCUACUGUCCUUGCAAGGCCUGUUCUAGAUGCACAUGGGUGGGAUCAUGACUGUGGCUAUGAUGGAGUAAGCGUUGAAGAGUCGCUCGCUCUCCUUAACAAAUUCCCAGGUACUGUGGCAGUUCAGGUUACCAAGGACAAGAAGGAAUUCAGCAUCCAUUUGGAUUCUUCCAUCUCAGCAAAGCAUGGGGAGGAUGCGUCUUCCCUUGCUGGUUUUGACAUCCAGACUGUUGGGCGGCAGCUUGCUUAUAUUCUCCGUGGUGAGACCAAAUUCAAGAGUAUCAAGAAGAACAAGACCACUGGAGGAUUCUCUGUGACUUUCUUGGGUGACAUUGUGGCAACUGGGCUGAAGGUCGAGGACCAGCUCUCUGUUGGCAAGAGGCUGGCGUUAGUGGCAAGCACAGGCGCAAUGCGAGCUCAAGGGGAUACCGCCUAUGGAGCCAACCUGGAAGCGCGCUUAAAAGACAAAGAUUAUCCAAUUGGUCAGUCCUUGUCAACCUUGGGCCUGUCCCUCAUGAAGUGGCGCCGUGACCUUGCCCUGGGGGCUAAUCUGCAGUCCCAGUUCUCGAUUGGAAGGGGUUCAAAGAUGGCUGUUCGCCUUGGGCUCAACAACAAGCUGAGCGGACAGAUCACCGUCAGGACAAGCACAUCGGAGCAGGUCCAGAUCGCGCUGCUGGGUCUUGUCCCAGUGAUAGCCUCCAUCUACCGGAGCUUCCGGCCCGGUGAACCAUCGUUUGCUUAUUAG